rnacentral:pre_miRNA from 1 species
CAAGUACUCCCUCCGUCCGGAAUUACUUGUCAUCAAAACGGAUGUGUCUAGAACUAAAAUACAUCUAGAUACAUCCAUUUCAAUGACAAGUAUUUUCGGACGGAUGGAGUACAAG